AUGGUCAACCCCAAUGUGCUCUUCGACAUGGCCAUCGACGGCGAGCCCUUGGGCCGCGUCUCCUUCGAGCUGUUUGCAGACAAAGUUCCAAAGACAGCAGAAAACUUUCGUGCUCUGAACACUGGAGAGAAAGGAUUUGGUUAUAACGGUUCCUGCUUUCACAGAAUUAUUCCAGGGUUUAUGUGCCAGGGUGGUGACUUUACACACCAUAAUGGCACUGGCGGCAAGUCCAUCUAUGGGGAGAAAUUUGAUGAUGAGAACUUCAUCUUGAAGCAUCUUGAAGCCCGGCAUCUUGUCCAUGGCAAAUGCUGGACCCAACACAAACGGUUCCCAGUUUUUCAUCUGCACUAAGACUGAAUGGUUGGAUGGCAAGCAUGUGGUUUUUGGCAAGGUGAAAGAGGUCAUGAAUGUUGUACAAGCCAUGGAGGGCUUUGGGUCCAAGAAUGGCAAGACCAGCAAGAAGAUCACCAUUGCUGACGGUGUACAACUCUAA